GAUGAAGAACGUAGCGAAAUGCGAUAAGUAAUGUGAAUUGCAGAAUUCAGUGAAUCAUCGAAUCUUUGAACGCACAUGGCGCCCGGUAGUAUUCUGCCGGGCAUGCCUGUUCGAGCGUCAUUUCAACCAUCAAGCCCCAGCGCUUGUGUUGGGGGCCUGCGGCUGCCGCAGCCCCCUAAAAGCAGUGGCGGGCUCGCUAUCACACCGAGUGCAGUAGUUCAUCUUCUCUCCGGUCUUGUGAGGCGGGUUCCGGCCGUGAAACACCCCACUACAUUCAAGGUUGACCUCGGAUCAGGUAGGAAUACCCGCUGAACUUAAGCAUAUCAAUAAGCGGAGGA
rnacentral:misc_RNA from 1 species